rnacentral:snRNA from 1 species
CUACAGUUCUAGGAUGUGAAUGGACGGGAGCACUGUAGACUCUAAGCCAAUUAGAUCCUAGAGAUCGAUUGUAGACAUUCCAUCGCUGUAUUCUAACCUCUGCGAUCAACCUCUGCGAUCAACCUCUGCGAUCACCCCAAAUGUGGGUGACUCGGGCGCGUUAUUUUUGCUAGUGGUGGACUGCGUUCGCGCUAUCCACUG